rnacentral:rRNA from 1 species
AUUAGCCACAAUAAGUUCCCGCGUGAGGGAUGGAGGCCUUCGGGUUGUAAACCUCUUUUAUCGGGGAGCAAGCGAGAGUGAGUUUACCCGUUGAAUAAGCACCGGCUAACUACGUGCCAGCAGCCGCGGUAAUACGUAGGGUGCAAGCGUUAUCCGGAAUUAUUGGGCGUAAAGGGCUCGUAGGCGGUUCGUCGCGUCCGGUGUGAAAGUCCAUCGCUUAACGGUGGAUCCGCGCCGGGUACGGGCGGGCUUGAGUGCGGUAGGGGAGACUGGAAUUCCCGGUGUAACGGUGGAAUGUGUAGAUAUCGGGAAGAACACCAAUGGCGAAGGCAGGUCUCUGGGCCGUUACUGACGCUGAGGAGCGAAAGCGUGGGGAGCGAACAGGAUUAGAUACCCUGGUAGUCCACGCCGUAAACGGUGGAUGCUGGAUGUGGGGCCCGUUCCACGGGUUCCGUGUCGGAGCUAACGCGUUAAGCAUCCCGCCUGGGGAGUACGGCCGCAAGGCUAAAACUCAAAGAAAUUGACGGGGGCCCGCACAAGCGGCGGAGCAUGCGGAUUAAUUCGAUGCAACGCGAAGAACCUUACCUGGGCUUGACAUGUUCCCGACGGUCGUAGAGAUACGGCUUCCCUUCGGGGCGGGUUCACAGGUGGUGCAUGGUCGUCGUCAGCUCGUGUCGUGAGAUGUUGGGUUAAGUCCCGCAACGAGCGCAACCCUCGCCCCGUGUUGCCAGCGGAUUAUGCCGGGAACUCACGGGGGACCGCCGGGGUUAACUCGGAGGAAGGUGGGGAUGACGUCAGAUCAUCAUGCCCCUUACGUCCAGGGCUUCACGCAUGCUACAAUGGCCGGUACAACGGGAUGCGACGCGGCGACGCGGAGCGGAUCCCUGAAAACCGGUCUCAGUUCGGAUCGCAGUCUGCAACUCGACUGCGUGAAGGCGGAGUCGCUAGUAAUCGCGAAUCAGCAACGUCGCGGUGAAUGCGUUCCCGGGCCUUGUACACACCGCCCGUCAAGUCAUGAAAGUGGGCAGCACCCGAAGCCGGUGGCCUAACCCCUUGUGGGAUGGAGCCGUCUAAGGUGAGGCUCGUGAUUGGGACUAAGUCGUAACAAGGUAGCCGUACCGGAAGGUGCGGCUG